rnacentral:rRNA from 1 species
GUGUCAGCAGCCGCGGUAACACGUAUGGGGCGAGCGUUGUUCGGAAUUACUGGGCAUAAAGGGCGUGUAGGCGGUUCGGUAAGCCUGGCGUGAAAGUCCUCGGCUCAACCGGGGGAUGGCGCUGGGAACUGCGGGACUGGAGUUUUGGAGGGGGAGCUGGAAUUCCUGGUGUAGGGGUGAAAUCUGUAGAGAUCAGGAAGAACACCGGUGGCGAAGGCGAGCUCCUGGCCAAUGACUGACGCUGAGGCGCGAAAGCGUGGGGAGCAAACAGGAUUAGAUACCCUGGUAGUCCACGCUGUAAACGAUGUGCACUAGGUGUUGGUGCCAUACGGGCAUCGGUGCCGUAGCUAAGGCGCUAAGUGCACCGCCUGGGGAGUAUGCUCGCAAGGGUGAAACUCAAAGGAAUUGACGGGG